AUUAGAUACCCUGGUAGUCCACGCAGUAAACGAUGAGCACUAAUUGUCCGGUCCGAAUGAGGACUGGGUGAUACAGCGAAAGCGUUAAGUGCUCCACCUGGGGAGUACGCCGGCAACGGUGAAACUCAAAGGAAUUGACGGGGGCCCGCACAAGCGGAGGAACAUGUGGUUUAAUUCGAUGAUACGCGAGGAACCUUACCCGGGCUCAAACGCGGCGUGAAUACUUUUGAAAGGAGGUAGCCAGCAAUGGUCUGUGUCGAGGUGCUGCAUGGUUGUCGUCAGCUCGUGCCGUGAGGUGUCGGCUUAAGUGCCAUAACGAGCGCAACCCCUACCGCCAGUUGCCAACAGGUAAAGCUGGGGACUCUGGCGGGACUGCCGGCGCAAGCUGCGAGGAAGGCGGGGAUGACGUCAAAUCAGCACGGCCCUUACGUCCGGGGCGACACACGUGUUACAAUGGCAGGUACAGCGGGAAGCCACCUGGCAACAGGGCGCGGAACCCGAAAACCUGUCUCAGUUCGGAUUGGAGUCUGCAACCCGACUCCAUGAAGCUGGAUUCGCUAGUAAUCGCGCAUCAGCCACGGCGCGGUGAAUACGUUCCCGGGCCUUGUACACACCGCCCGUCAAGCCAUGGAAGCCGGGAGUGCCUGAAGUGUGCGACCGCAAGGAGCGCCCUAAGGUAAAACCGGUGACUGGGGCUAAGUCGUAACAAG
rnacentral:rRNA from 1 species